AAGAACUUUGAAGAGAGAGUUCAAAAGGGCGUGAAACCGCUUAGAAUAAAACGGACGGAGCCGUCGGUGGCCUUCCGGAAUCAGUCGUACGACGCGCGAUAGCUUGUUUCGUCGGAGCGAAAGUCCGGCGGGCGGGUUGGAGUAGCGUUCGUUCGAUGCAUUUCCGGAGGGUAUGCGCCGCGACCGAUGCGAGGAGCUAGCGAAUCCGGCGAUUUGAGGUGGAAACCCCUCACGGGGUCUUCAUUACCAGUUCGCCGGCUUGUAAUCGCUAGACGUAAGCAUCGAGCGCGAAAUAUAACGGACACUGGCUAAAGUGCUCGCUUAAGCGGCGGAUAGUCGGCGGAGUUUGCUGUACCUGCUCGCAGGUUAUGCGGAUUCCCGUUCGGCGUUUGAAGUCGCGGGCGAGUUAUAGUGGCCGGGCGUCAGCGGCGUCCGAGACGGUCAACCGUCCGACCCGUCUUGAAACACGGACCAAGGAGUCUAACGUACGCGCGAGCUAAUGAGUGGAAAACUCAUAAGCGCAAUAAAAGUAAAAGGUACGAUCCCGGGGUAUUUAUUUAUCCCGGGCGCAGUACCGUCCCAUCCUGAUCGCUCGUCGAUAGGGUGGAGAUUGAGUGCCUACGUUGGGACCCGAAAGAUGGUGAACUAUGCCUGAGCAGAGCGAAGCCAGAGGAAACUCUGGUGGAGGUUCGUAGCGGUUCUGACGUGCAAAUCGAUCGUCAGACUUGGGUAUAGGGGCGAAA
rnacentral:rRNA from 1 species